CAUGUUCUCGCUCUAUUUAGGUAAGAGUGCAAUUGAUUAUUGUGACAAGUUUGUAAGCAAGUUUGUUUGGAUAAAACACUUGCAUCCAUUGAAGGCAAUUUUGCCAAAGUGAUUGGAUGUCCUGUUGAUCUGUUGCCUAUAUUGUGAUUGGCUCAGCUGCACUUAUGUUGGUUGGUGACUUUUUGUUAAACACCUGUCCACUAGGAGCCUCCAUCAAAUUAAUUACAUCGAUACUCUAGGUUCCAAUACCUACAGAUUGCGACAUUGUUAUUUUUCUAAUUUGAAUUAUUGAUUUUCUCCUCUUUCAAGAUAGAUAUUUAUCUUUUCAUGUGUAAAGUUCUUUUUUGAUGCAUGUUCUGUCAUCUACAUUAGGCAUUUCCCACAUUGAGAAUGACUUAAGAUAUAGGUUGGUAGACUCUUCAUAUUUUAGCUCUAAUACUACUUAGGUUAGAGUGGGCAAUUGAUUAUUUUGACAAGUUUAAAAGUUCCUUCGUGUGAACGAACAACCGUACCCAUGGAAGGCAACUUUGCCGAGGUGAUCGAUUUCCUUUUGAUUUCCUCUUUUCCUGUUGCCUAUAAUUGUGAUUGGCUCGACUGGGCAUAUAUUGAUUGGUGAAUUAUUUGUUAGAACACCUGAUCCAUUGAAGAGCCUAUAUCAAAUUAAAAUUACAUUGAUACUCUAAGCCUCAAUGCCUGUAAUGUUGUUUUUUAAUUUGAAUUUUUUCUUCUCUCAAUGUACAUAUCCUUUCAUGUGCAAAGUGCUCACUUGAUGCAUGAUUUGGAUGUGUGCAUGACAUACUUCAAUGGGAUGAUCAACAAAUCAUGAGCAUAAUUCUCUAUACGAUGAAUGUGUCUUGGGCUAUG
rnacentral:lncRNA from 1 species